GGGUUGUGAGGUUAAGCGACUAAGCGUACACGGUGGAUGCCCUGGCAGUCAGAGGCGAUGAAGGACGUGCUAAUCUGCGAUAAGCGUCGGUAAGGUGAUAUGAACCGUUAUAACCGGCGAUUUCCGAAUGGGGAAACCCAGUGUGUUUCGACACACUAUCAUUAACUGAAUCCAUAGGUUAAUGAGGCGAACCGGGGGAACUGAAACAUCUAAGUACCCCGAGGAAAAGAAAUCAACCGAGAUUCCCCCAGUAGCGGCGAGCGAACGGGGAGCAGCCCAGAGCCUGAAUCAGUGUGUGUGUUAGUGGAAGCGUCUGGAAAGGCGCGCGAUACAGGGUGACAGCCCCGUACACAAAAAUACACAUAUUGUGAGCUCGAUGAGUAGGGCGGGACACGUGGUAUCCUGUCUGAAUAUGGGGGGACCAUCCUCCAAGGCUAAAUACUCCUGACUGACCGAUAGUGAACCAGUACCGUGAGGGAAAGGCGAAAAGAACCCCGGCGAGGGGAGUGAAAAAGAACCUGAAACCGUGUACGUACAAGCAGUGGGAGCACGCUUAGGCGUGUGACUGCGUACCUUUUGUAUAAUGGGUCAGCGACUUAUAUUCUGUAGCAAGGUUAACCGAAUAGGGGAGCCGAAGGGAAACCGAGUCUUAACUGGGCGUUAAGUUGCAGGGUAUAGACCCGAAACCCGGUGAUCUAGCCAUGGGCAGGUUGAAGGUUGGGUAACACUAACUGGAGGACCGAACCGACUAAUGUUGAAAAAUUAGCGGAUGACUUGUGGCUGGGGGUGAAAGGCCAAUCAAACCGGGAGAUAGCUGGUUCUCCCCGAAAGCUAUUUAGGUAGCGCCUCGUGAAUUCAUCUCCGGGGGUAGAGCACUGUUUCGGCAAGGGGGUCAUCCCGACUUACCAACCCGAUGCAAACUGCGAAUACCGGAGAAUGUUAUCACGGGAGACACACGGCGGGUGCUAACGUCCGUCGUGAAGAGGGAAACAACCCAGACCGCCAGCUAAGGUCCCAAAGUCAUGGUUAAGUGGGAAACGAUGUGGGAAGGCCCAGACAGCCAGGAUGUUGGCUUAGAAGCAGCCAUCAUUUAAAGAAAGCGUAAUAGCUCACUGGUCGAGUCGGCCUGCGCGGAAGAUGUAACGGGGCUAAACCAUGCACCGAAGCUGCGGCAGCGACGCUUAUGCGUUGUUGGGUAGGGGAGCGUUCUGUAAGCCUGCGAAGGUGUGCUGUGAGGCAUGCUGGAGGUAUCAGAAGUGCGAAUGCUGACAUAAGUAACGAUAAAGCGGGUGAAAAGCCCGCUCGCCGGAAGACCAAGGGUUCCUGUCCAACGUUAAUCGGGGCAGGGUGAGUCGACCCCUAAGGCGAGGCCGAAAGGCGUAGUCGAUGGGAAACAGGUUAAUAUUCCUGUACUUGGUGUUACUGCGAAGGGGGGACGGAGAAGGCUAUGUUGGCCGGGCGACGGUUGUCCCGGUUUAAGCGUGUAGGCUGGUUUUCCAGGCAAAUCCGGAAAAUCAAGGCUGAGGCGUGAUGACGAGGCACUACGGUGCUGAAGCAACAAAUGCCCUGCUUCCAGGAAAAGCCUCUAAGCAUCAGGUAACAUCAAAUCGUACCCCAAACCGACACAGGUGGUCAGGUAGAGAAUACCAAGGCGCUUGAGAGAACUCGGGUGAAGGAACUAGGCAAAAUGGUGCCGUAACUUCGGGAGAAGGCACGCUGAUAUGUAGGUGAAGCGACUUGCUCGUGGAGCUGAAAUCAGUCGAAGAUACCAGCUGGCUGCAACUGUUUAUUAAAAACACAGCACUGUGCAAACACGAAAGUGGACGUAUACGGUGUGACGCCUGCCCGGUGCCGGAAGGUUAAUUGAUGGGGUCAGCGCAAGCGAAGCUCUUGAUCGAAGCCCCGGUAAACGGCGGCCGUAACUAUAACGGUCCUAAGGUAGCGAAAUUCCUUGUCGGGUAAGUUCCGACCUGCACGAAUGGCGUAAUGAUGGCCAGGCUGUCUCCACCCGAGACUCAGUGAAAUUGAACUCGCUGUGAAGAUGCAGUGUACCCGCGGCAAGACGGAAAGACCCCGUGAACCUUUACUAUAGCUUGACACUGAACAUUGAGCCUUGAUGUGUAGGAUAGGUGGGAGGCUUUGAAGUGUGGACGCCAGUCUGCAUGGAGCCGACCUUGAAAUACCACCCUUUAAUGUUUGAUGUUCUAACGUUGACCCGUAAUCCGGGUUGCGGACAGUGUCUGGUGGGUAGUUUGACUGGGGCGGUCUCCUCCUAAAGAGUAACGGAGGAGCACGAAGGUUGGCUAAUCCUGGUCGGACAUCAGGAGGUUAGUGCAAUGGCAUAAGCCAGCUUGACUGCGAGCGUGACGGCGCGAGCAGGUGCGAAAGCAGGUCAUAGUGAUCCGGUGGUUCUGAAUGGAAGGGCCAUCGCUCAACGGAUAAAAGGUACUCCGGGGAUAACAGGCUGAUACCGCCCAAGAGUUCAUAUCGACGGCGGUGUUUGGCACCUCGAUGUCGGCUCAUCACAUCCUGGGGCUGAAGUAGGUCCCAAGGGUAUGGCUGUUCGCCAUUUAAAGUGGUACGCGAGCUGGGUUUAGAACGUCGUGAGACAGUUCGGUCCCUAUCUGCCGUGGGCGCUGGAGAACUGAGGGGGGCUGCUCCUAGUACGAGAGGACCGGAGUGGACGCAUCACUGGUGUUCGGGUUGUCAUGCCAAUGGCACUGCCCGGUAGCUAAAUGCGGAAGAGAUAAGUGCUGAAAGCAUCUAAGCACGAAACUUGCCCCGAGAUGAGUUCUCCCUGACCCUUUAAGGGUCCUGAAGGAACGUUGAAGACGACGACGUUGAUAGGCCGGGUGUGUAAGCGCAGCGAUGCGUUGAGCUAACCGGUACUAAUGAACCGUGAGGCUUAACCUUACAACGCCGAAGCUGUU
rnacentral:rRNA from 1 species